UUUAGUUCCUCCAGAGCACGCAGAGGCCAUGAGGUCAGUGGAUGGAAGCAGUGCACGAGUAAGGAGGGGGAUGGAUGCUGUCAUCAUGUAUGUUAAUUAAGGGUGCAGUCAUUGCAUAUGCAAAAGGUUCAGUUGUUGUAUAAAUUGCACUGGAUCGAGACACGAGUUGGGAGAGUUACGAGGUAGUCGCUGGAUGCAAGCCAGGCAGCAAUGUUCUGAGCAUGGGGGAUUUUACCACGUAACUUGGAAGAGAAUUCAACAUGAUCUGUAAAGGAAUAACUUUUCCACGGGAAUUAUGGAUUUAAGGAGUGCUCUUUCUGCACUGUUGGAGGAUUACAAAAGACUGUGAUCUAAAAAUAACGCUGACUGAAGGAAUAUUACUGAACUCUAUAAUUUCCAAAAGGAUUAACACCAGAGUGGAUUAUAACAAAGUUUUUAUUGGGCCAAACAACAUAAAGGAUCCAAGCAGAUCUAAAUGGGGACUGAACUCUCUCUCCACCUCCUCCCUGGAGCAGAGCCCAGCUGGGCGUCGGUCUUCAGGUGAGCAGCAGACGAAUGUCAAACCAGAAAAACUAACAGCAGGAAAAGUUCAACCGAAAACACACAAAGAUGAUCCUCAGUACACAAAACCAGACACACAACUAAUCAGACACACAGUGAUCCAGACACAUGAAGAAAAAUCGUCAAAAUAUGAAGAAAUCAGUUUUAAAGUCAUCAUGAGAUUUCCUCCAGAAUCAGAUCCUGUCAGGAGGAAAAUAAAUAAAAAGGAGUCACUGCUCUCAAGACUGGAUCCAUGGAAACCAGCUGGGUUUCUACGUCUCACUUUAAUCAUUCAAACAACCGAUGUUUAAAAAAGAAGCUCCAGCACGACUACAGGAGGUCCUUCCAUCUCCACGUGAACAGCAGCUGUCCAUCCAGCUGUUCCAGGUGUUUCCUACCUGAGUGUGAGAUCUGCAGC